rnacentral:rRNA from 1 species
GAUGAACGCUGGCGGCGUGCCUAAUACAUGCAAGUCGAACGCUCAAGCUUGGUGCUUUCACCGAUCGGAUGAGUUGGAAACGGGUGAGUAACGCGUAGGUAACCUGCCUCUUUGCGGGGGAUAACUAUUGGAAACGACAGCUAAUACCGCAUAAAAGUUGACACUGCAUGAUGUUGAUUUGAAAGAUGCAAUUGCAUCAUUAAGAGAUGGACCUGCGUUGUAUUAGUUAGUUGGUGAAGUAACGGCUCACCAAAGCGACGAUACAUAGUCGACCUGAGAGGGGUGUCGGGCACACUGGGAAUGGGACAAGGCCCAGACACCCACGGGGGGGAGAAGGGGGGGAUCUUUGGGAAAGGGCGGAAAUCUGACCGGGCAACGCCGCGGGGGUGAAAAAAGUUUUCGGGUCGUAAAAAUCUGUUUUAAGGGGAAAACGAAGGUGGGAGUGAAAAGUUCGCACUGUGACGGUAACUUAACAGAAAGGCACGGCUAACUACGUG